rnacentral:rRNA from 1 species
AAACCGUGUACGUACAAGCAGUGGGAGCACCUUCGGGUGUGACUGCGUACCUUUUGUAUAAUGGGUCAGCGACUUAUAUUCUGUAGCAAGGUUAACCGUAUAGGGGAGCCGCAGGGAAACCGAGUCUUAACUGGGCGUUAAGUUGCAGGGUAUAGACCCGAAACCCGGUGAUCUAGCCAUGGGCAGGUUGAAGGUUGGGUAACACUAACUGGAGGACCGAACCGACUAAUGUUGAAAAAUUAGCGGAUGACUUGUGGCUGGGGGUGAAAGGCCAAUCAAACCGGGAGAUAGCUGGUUCUCCCCGAAAGCU